UUUCCUUUCUUAAAAGUUGCUGCUAGGGCUUAAAGAGGUGGGAGAGAGGAGGGCCUGGGGCCCUGGAAGGUGCCUGGUGGUGACCUUUUAGGUCUAGUUGAGGAGGGGUGAGGGUUCUGACUCCGAUUGGUAGGCUUUGGCAGCUUAUUUUGUUUUGUUUGUUGUUGUUUUCCUGGUAGCCGCAAGCAUCCUGAAUCAGGGGACGUGGGGCUGCUUUGAGAAGAUUACUGAACACGAACCCUCCCUUGUUGAAGGCUACUGUCACCUGUUCUUUCAGGGAAUUUAUCCAUUUCUGAAAAAUCGAAGGAGAGUGGUGUGGAAGCAGGCGACAGUUUGCCAGAGGUUUGGGGCAGAGGUAUAGGUUUUGAAUGGGUAACGAGGGCAAAUAGUUUUUGUGGAACUUCUUCCUUUUUCUGGAUGGAGGUGACUGGUAAUGAGUUCUUAAUACCAGCCCUCCGAACUAAGUUGAUUGCUUGCUUGUUAAUAAUCUGAUUUAGCACGUGAGGAAACUCAUAGUUUCCUAAAGCCACAAAAAUCCAUCAGUUGCACCUGUGUUACCACUUAAGCAAUGUGUUCAAGGUUAGGAACCAAGCUGUGUGAAGCUCUGAAUUGAAGAAGGAUGAGGUGGUUUUUUGCAAGUGAAAUACCAUCACAGAAUUUUCAUGUCGCUGUCCUUCUUCCAGAAAUUGGCAUUACAGAAAUAGAGUACUUUGAUAUCUUGCUAUUGAAUGAAACUUGGCAAAAUAACAAAAUUGGGUCAUAGAAAUUCUCUGAUAGCUCAUAUUGAAACUAUUUUCAUUCAUUAAUUUGUAAGUCUGAAAUAUAGAAAGACAUUUGGUGAGAGUAUUAAAUUAUGUAAACUGUACUGAGAAUAUUGGUAACAUAUUUGGUGCUGAACUUGCCAAGAUAAACCAAGAAUAAAAUGUGAACCUUUGUGGAGGUGCAGAAAUAGGUCAUUUCAUGAACACAGUAGAUGACUAAAAGGCCCAGUUUAAAGGAUAUAAUUUAUAGAAGUGUAGUUGUGUUAGAUGAUUUUUAUUAAAGCACCAUCAUAAAAGAGCACUGGAUUAUGAGUCAGAAGAUCAAUUUCCAAUCCCAGUUCUGCCUUUUAAGAAACAUGUGAGUUAGAACAACUCAUAUAGCCUCUGUUAUGCAAUGUUUACUCAUCUGUAAACAUACUAACUGACCUGUCAGCCUUAUAAAGCUCUUGUGAAGGUAAAAUGAAAUGUAAGGGCUUACUAAAUUACGAAGUUUUGAACAUGUUAAGUAUUAAGAAGUGGAGUACAAUUUGCUAUCUUUUUCGCCAGAUCUUUUGGAAGGGUUUGAGGUAAUAGCUCUAAAACUGCUUUUAUUUCCUACUUUAAUAAUGCAAAUUACUUUUGCUCACCUAAAAACCUACUCUAUGUGAUUUCCAAUAAUAAGAUAGUUACUAAUUUUCUUUCACUGAAAAGUGUGUAUGCCUGACUAUAAUUAAAAUUAAUGGUACUAUUAUCAGUAGUUUAAUACAUAACAAAAAUGAACUGUAACUACUCUUAAGUCCAUCAAAGGAAGUGAGGACUUCAUUCAUACCGUCUGGCAGUGGUUAGUUCUCUUGGUCCUUUUUUUAGAAUCCAGACCUUUUCCUUUGAGUAUAGAGGAAGAAAAUGACAUAUGGGCUCAGACCUGUCUUUCAUAAAUAAAUAACUUGAACUGAAACUUGAGUAACAUUUAUUUGUCACCUAUUUGAAAUGCAGAAAUCUCAUUGUUACAGUAUGUAAGAAGAAUAAAUGUGCUAACACAAUUGAAUUAGCAUGGUAAUUGUGACUUCUGUCCUUGGGCAGAUAGAUACACUGAAGUUAUGUUGGAUUAGAUCCAAUAUCAUUUUAAACAACUUGAUGGAAUAGCCAAAUUUAUUUAUUUUUUAAAAUUUUUAUUACAGUAUGUUUGCUUUACAAUAUCAUGUUAGUUUAUGCUGUAUGGCAAUGUGCCUUUUCCUGGGGAAAAUAUUUGUCGCUGACAUCUCUUUCUCUAGGGGAUUCUAACCUGAAAAAGGUUGAGAAGCAACGAAGUAGAUAAUAGGUACUGUAGACAUAAGAGUAAAGAAAGGGAUGUUGUGAACUGGACUGGUAUCAUUGUCUCCUUUUGUAGUCACCUAGACAGAUGAGACUGUGUUAUAGGCAAAAAUUGCCAGCUACCUUAAAAAUGCUCUCCAUUGUGAAUGGCUUUACAUCCUAAAGCAGAAUUACAGAUCAGAGUCUCUGAGGCUUUGCUAGUGUUGACAAAUGUAUUGUGAUUUUUUAACCAAGAUAUUAAUAAUAGUUCAAAUUUUGUUUUUUAAAUAUCACCUGACAGUAGUCUUGUAUGUCCUGGCUUGCUAGUAGAAUGUUGUCUUACAAGAAGUAUUUUAUGUAAGGAAUGCUUAUCGUUCAUCAUUUGAUGCUAUUUGAGGAUCAGUUCUGAGCAAUUCACUAUGAAAGUUAAAAUGCAAAAAGAGAAAUAAGAGUUGAGCUGGCUUUGAAUUCCUUCUUGUUCUUCUAUUCACAGUUAAUUACCCAUCUCUAGGCUUCAGUUUUCACAUCUGUACAGUGAGGGAAGUUGACAAGCGAUCUCUAAGGUUUCUUUCAAUUCUGAAGAUCUCCCUGAGUUUCUGUGUUCCCAAACUCUACCUCCCAGACAUACACAAGGGAUGAUGAAGAUGCUGGGAGCUGAAAAAGAGGAAAGUUGGUAUAGGAUUCCCUGACGGUUUCUCUGGAGUAAAUUGAGGUUAUGUUUUUGACAACACCACCGUAUAAGUAUGCUGUACUCUUCCCAGUUCAUCAUUUCAGAAGAACACCUAUUUAACUUGAAGUUUGCUGCAAAGGAACUUAAUAGGAAUGCCAAGAAAUGUGAUAAAGAAGAAAAGGCUGAAAAGGCCAAGAUUAAAAAGGUAAGUAAUUUUUUUGUGUGUGUGUGGUAUGCGGACCUCUCACUGUUGUGGCCUCUCCCGUUGCAGAGCACAGGCUCCAGACACGCGGGCUCAGUGGCCAUGG